rnacentral:lncRNA from 1 species
AAUGGUUAAUAGAUUACAAUGGAAUGUUUUAAGAUCUUCCUAUAUGUAAUUUGACACUGCUGAUUUUAAAUUUCAGAGCAUAAAAACUUUAGAUUUAAAAUAACCAAAUUUAUCCUCGAUGGCAUGCAAGAUCUUUCUAAAAAUUAACCUAAGACCUAGAAGUCUCAGUAUUAUCAGAACGUAAAGAAACACAACAAAUUUGUACAUUUUAUUCACAUUUAUUUUUCGCUUUUAGUGUGCUCACAGAAAAUUAGAACACCUUAAGCAGGAGUUUAAUAGCAAUUUUUGUAAGCAAAGUUACAUUCCAUCUCUAAGUCAAAUUGGUCAAAGCUUCUCCAGUAUUCUCAAAGACGACUGGAAAAGAAAGCAUUGCCUGCUGUAAUGAAAAACAUACCACAGUAAAAUUUGUGUUUAAA